AUGAGCUUGGUUCCUGUACUGGUGCUUAUGAUACUUUUUUCCCUGAGAGGAACCGGAGCCCAGUCAGUGACCCAGCCUGACGUCCACGUCACUGUCUCUGAAGGAGCCCCUCUGGAGCUGAGGUGCAACUAUUCAUCUUCUGUUUCACCGUAUCUCUUCUGGUACAUGCAGUAUCCCAACCAAGGACUCCAUCUUCUCCUCAAGUACACGUCUGGAAUCAGCCUUGUUCCAGGCAUCAAAGGUUUCAAGGCUGAAUUUAGGAGGAACGAAACCUCCUUUCACCUGAAGAAACCCUCAGCCCAUUGGAGCGACUCGGCUGAGUACUUCUGUGCUGUGAGUGACACAGUGCCUGUGACUGCAGGGGGAGCUGAACACAAACUUCUGGUGAAUCUGAGGCUUUCAGUGACUCAAGGGAUCAACCUGGGGUGUUUUCAGUAA